rnacentral:rRNA from 1 species
UACGUAGGGUGCAAGCGUUGUCCGGAAUUACUGGGCGUAAAGCGUGCGCAGGCGGUUAUGCAAGACAGAUGUGAAAUCCCCGGGCUCAACCUGGGAACUGCAUUUGUGACUGUAUAGCUAGAGUACGGUAGAGGGGGAUGGAAUUCCGCGUGUAGCAGUGAAAUGCGUAGAUAUGCGGAGGAACACCGAUGGCGAAGGCAAUCCCCUGGACCUGUACUGACGCUCAUGCACGAAAGCGUGGGGAGCAAACAGG